GACAGAGACGUCGUGGUGUGGAGAAAUGAAACUUAUAACCUAACCUUUUAUCCAAUUUACCGGGUGCUCUCGCUGGUAUAAACAGAGAGUAUUUGAUUACCCGACGUCUUUAAUUUUUGCU
rnacentral:telomerase_RNA from 1 species